GCACCAGGUGUGGCCACUAGCCUAUAUGAAGGCCCAAAAUUGUGUGUUCCUUUCUGCUCUGACAAUGGCAUGCCCAUUCGUGCGAGAUGUGGUGGAUGAAGACGCACUUGUGCUGAGGAGAGCCUUCAGGCGAGAAAGGGUCUUCAGGGACCGGUUGACCCACUGGCCUUCCCUGAUGACCAUCUAUAUGAAAGAUACAGGUUUUCUGCAGAUGGCAUCAGGUAUCUAUGCAGACUACUGGGUCCCAGGAUUAAGCACCGCACUGCACGGAGCCAUGCACUGAGUGUGGAGCAAAUGGUUUGUGUGGCCUUGCGCUUUUUGCUAGUGGAGCCUUCCUGUACUCAGUGGGGGAUGCUGAACAAGGCCACAAUUUGCCGCACAAUAAGGAGUGUGUGUCUGGCUAUCAAAGCAUUAGCAGAUGUCUUCAUCUCCUUCCCUGGCCACAGAAGACUCUGUGACAUCAAAGAGGAGUUCUAUAGGAUUGCAGAUGGUCUGCAAUGCUGACUGUGUGAUCAGCAAUGUUGUGGCAAAAUGGCCUGGCUCAGUCCAUGACUCCAGAAUCUUUCGGGCCUCUGAAAUCUAUCAGUGCCUAUCACAAGGUGAAUUCUCUGGUGUGUUGCUGGGAGACAGGGGUAUGGCUGCCAGCCUUUUCUCCUGACACCUUUCACAGACCCCAGGAAGCACAGCAGGCCUACAACCAUGCCCAUGCCAGGACCAGGGCCAGAGUUGAAAUGACCUUUGGCCUCCUGAAGGCACACUUUCACUGCCUUCACAAAUUAAGGGUCAGCCCUGUUAGGGCAUGUGAUAUUACUGUGGCUUGUGCUGUCCUCCACAAUGUGGCCUGCCUGAGGAAGGAGAGGGCCCCCAGAGUGCCACCAGCCAUGGACUGGGACAAUCCGGCAAUCUUCCCUGAUGACGACAGUGGUCGGCUGCUGAGGGACCAAUAUGUGUUGAAUUAUUUUAGUUAGUAUGUGUGCUUUCAAUUUUGGUUAAAUAUGUCCUGCGGUGGCAGAGGAAUUUGGG